AUCUCAUGCUGAGGACAUUUCUUAAAAACUCCUUGUACCGUUCCCAUAUAUCAUAUAAAGUUUCAGAUUCCAUCUAUCUAAAAUGGCGAAAUAUCACUCCUCAACUU